GGGGUUGUGGCUCAGUGGUAGAGAGCUCACCUCAAACGUGUGAGACCCUGGGUUCGAUCCUCAGUACCA
rnacentral:tRNA from 1 species